GACGAACGCUGGCGGCGUGCCUAAUACAUGCAAGUAGGACGCAGUUGCGACCGGGUGAGUCACGCGUAGGUAACUACCUAUUAGAGGGGGAUAACUAUGGGAAACGAUAGCUAAUACCGCAUAAUAGUAGAUGGACCUGCGUUGUAUUAGCUAGUAGGUAGGGUAAUAGCCUACCUAGGCAACAAUACAUAGCCGACCUGAUAGGGUGAGCGGCCACACUGGGACGGAGACACGGCCCAGACUCCGACGGGAGGCAGCAGUAGGGAAUCUUCGGCAAUGGGGGGAACCCUGACCGAGCAACGACGAGUGAGUGAAGAAGGUUUUCGGAUCGUAAAGCUCUGUUGUUAAGGAAGCGGUACUUAACCAGAAAGGGACGGCUAACUACGUGCCAGCAGCCGCGGUAAUUC
rnacentral:rRNA from 1 species